AUUAAGACCUUGGGGCUUGGAGACAGGCAGUGACCGUCCCAAGAUCACUCAGCUGAUAAGUGAUGGAGCCAGGAUUCCAGCCUAGACUGUCUGACUGCAAAGGGCUAUACGGGUGGGAGUCUAUAGAGUUGGGGGGUGGGGUGACAUUUCCUAGCCACCCUCCACAUAAAAAAUGAAAAGCCACUGUCCUAAUUAUUUCUUUACCCUAAAGGUCCAAGGGUAAAAUCCCAUUUCUUCCAAGAGGCCCUGCCUUCUUUAUCCAGCCCAGACUGCUCGUUUUCUGACCUCCCAUUUAUUUCUCAACCAGAUACUGACCCUCCACUCUGUGCCUGUCGUAGAUAUACGUUGUGAUGGGCCCCAGAGUUACAAAAUCCAGUAGGCCCUGGUCCUGCCAUCAGGUCCCUGUGGUGCGGUAGGGAGAGGGACCUGAGUCACCUGAGCAAGUUAGAUGUCCUGCUGGGGGCCUGGGCCUACUCCAAGAAAGGGACAACUGUCAUGUGUGUUCCCUCUGUGGCCCUAAAUUGGAAUUUCAGUACUACGUUUUAUUUUCUCAUGGAUUCCACUGCAAGUCAUUUGUUUUCAGGAAUAGGGAUGAAGUCCUGCUGGCCUAUGGUUGCCUCGGUUCUGUCAUCUGUGAAGUAGUAUAUUGGCCCCAACUGUUCAGGCCUCAUUCAGGAAUCCCCACAGUGAACUCUUCCUCUAGCCUCAUCACCCAGCACCACUCUCCUCACGACUCACAUUUCCCAGGUUGGACUGAAGACUCUGUUCCCACAAAUGUGUUCCUCCGUCACCUCCUGCCCCUGGUCUCCACCUGCCGCAGUCCUAUUCAUCCUUCCUGGCUCAUCGUGGAGUCUACCUCCAUCAAGCCUCUCCUGAUUUCCCUAACGAGAUGUCAUCACUGACUCCUAACCCUUCCUUGCAGAGCUCAAGUUUCCAGCAGGUUGAGCUCAAGGAGAAGAUUACAGAUGUAACUCAGCAUGGACGCUCCCCUAAGAAGCCAUCCCUGACAGAACCCAAUGCCUUGAGGUCAUCCCUUCUUCCUUGUAUUACCUUGCACCCUGUAUACACUUUAAUCAUUGCUCUUAUCACGCUGAAGUGUCAUUAUUUACACACUUGUGCUUUUUUCUGCCAGAUUAUGAAUUCCAUGAAAAAAGAGAUUGUGCUUUCUGCAUCUCUAGCCAAGCAUCUGCCACAUGAUCUGGUAUACCUCUGCAGGUUUGUUACAUGGAUAUAUGGCAUGAUUCUGAGAUUUGGAAUGUGAUGGAUCCCAUCAUCCAGAUGGGGUUUCACCAUGUUCCCCAGGCUGAUCUUGCACUCCUAGACUCAAGGGAUCUGUCUACCUCAGCCUCCCAAAGUGCUGAAAUUACAGGAAUGAGCUACCCGGCCCAGCCUGGAAUUGACUCUUUAUAGCAUAGAGAUUUCUCCACCUUGGAGCAAUGCCCCAAGAUAAGUCUGGUCAGCAGUGAGGUGUGAUUUCCUUUUGUAAGGUGGGAGAAUGGAGCUGAGAAGGGAACAGGAGAGAGAAGAGGACCAUAAAGAGGAGUUCUCACAUGUAUUAAUUUUUGGAAAGUAUACUUAUCAUAGUUCAGAAUCUGUAAUUAAUUCUUUGAAAUCCUUUGGAAAGCCCUCAAAUAGUAUACCCAUUUGAAAACCACUGUUAUAAAGAAUUCUGCCAAGUAUAGUCAUUUGUUAACUUGACAACAGAGUUUUUUUUUUUUUUUUUUUCUCAGAAGACCUAUUAAUAUCUGUAAGAGCCAACAUUCUUGGAAUACUCCCUGGGAAAUGCUACUUUAAAGGUUUGAUUAAUAAAUCUUAAUUGGUUCCCCAAUUAGAUAAUAAAAUCUACAGUUAUGAGCCAGUGGUUUUUGAAGUUGUAGGACAACAGAUAUGAUGAUGAUGAUGAUGAUGAUGUUGAUAACUAUUAAUGAUUAUGUUAGUUUCGCAUAGCAGAUAGCCCAACAAACACAGGUGAAUGAAUACCAGCAAUGAGGUACUUUUCUCACACAACAAUCAAUUCCUGAGCAGGUAGCCCUAGAGUGAAACAGUAGCUUAACAAUGUAAUCAAUCACCCAGCUGUUUCUCUCCUGCCACUUCAUCAGCCUUAGCCUGCGAACCCUGUGCUUAUUACCUCAUGACUUCAAGGUGGAUGCUCUACCUCCAGCCUCGCAGUUAAAUUCCAGGCAAGAAGAGAGAGCAAGGCCGACAGAGAAAGAGGAACGAGGACUUGCUGCUCAGAAGCUCUGCCUUUUUAUUUGGAAAAGUCAAGGACUCGUACUUAACAUUGCAUCGGCCAUAGCUGGGUUUUGUGACCACCCCUAGCUGCAGGAAGCUGUGAGUUUAUUUCCUCUUUUAGCCUUUCUAGUAAAGGAAAGUAAAGAAGGAGGUGUUUGAGAAUAGAUUUUGAAUGAACCAGUUUACAGGAUCUGUCACAUCCUUCUUUUCUGAGCUAGGCACUUUACACAUAUUACGUUUAUUAUAAAAAUCCUAGGUGAUAGGUUUAUUAUCCCCGUUUUUCAGACAAGGAAAUGAAAACUCACUGAAGUAAAGUAACCUCAUAAGAUACCAUAACUAAUUUGUGUGAAAAAACUGGGAUUGGAACAGUUCUUCAGAAACUAAAGUCUGUGCUUUCCAUCUCUGACCACCGCCUGGGCUGUUUUGCUCUACAUCUGUUACAUUCCAUAUCCUUCAUAGUGUGAGGCCUAGAAAGUUCUGCUGGAGUGCGGAGGAGUGGGGUGGGAAUGAAAGAAUAAGAAAGACUCCCUCUGCCUAUCUUCCCCUCUUCCAUGUACCUUAAUCUUGACAAGAGCAGGUCCCAGGAGGGAAGGGCAGGGAAGGAAGCAGGUCACUGGGGCUACUUUUCUGAUUCUGACCCUGGCUGUUUAGGUCACCUGGACUCUGCAGGCCUCAGUUUCCACCUCGCUUUGCAGAGCGAAUUUCUGUGAUUUAAGACAUGGGAGAGACUGCAGAACUGUGGUCUAGUGGGAAGUGAGCGUGAUCACUCCUGAGGAAUUGUCCCCAUGCUCUGGAAGCUGGACCUAAGAAUCUACCUGGCACGAGACACCUUUUCUCUCCUUCCCCUCCAAGCCCACUGUGGAUUCAGAGAUGAUUUCCCUACAGGGGAUCUGGGCUGUGGUGACCUGAUGAGUCAGGACUGAUGAAGCAAGGGAUCCCCAGAAACUCCACGUGAGGGUGCAGACCUCCAAAACGUUCCAGAAUUCAGCUGCUUCUCAUCACUGUUAGCCUGGUCCAAACCAGCAUCGUCUUCAACUUAGAUGACUGUAAUGGCCUUCGACUGGUUCGCCCUGCAGCCACUUUGCCCUGCAGCCUAUUCUCUACAGAGCAUCCAUGGUGAUUGCAUAAAUGCCUCGGUCAGGCCAUGACGUCCUCUGCUUAACCCAACAGCAGCUCCCUUUUCUUUCAAAGUAAAAGCCAAAGUUUUGACAAAGGGCUUCUACCGCCAUACACAAUCUGCCUGCUGUUCCUUGCCUUCCCUGUCCCCACACCUUUCUAACCUCACUUUCUACCUCUUUCACUUUAAGACAUCUUCCUGCCUCAGGGCCUUUGUACAGAUUCUUCUUUCUGCUGAGAUCAUUCUUCUCCCAGAGAUCCAAAUGGCUCUCUCAUUUCCUUGAAGGCUUUGCUCAAAAUGCCACCUUCUCGUUGAGGCUAUGCUGUCUACCCUGGUUUAAAAAUCCCACCCGCUCCACUCCUUCCCUCAACACGGCCAAUCCUUUUUGCCCUCCUCUGCUUUUUCCAUGGCACUCAUCCCUGCCUAACAGUCUAUAAUGGAUUUGUUUAGCCUAUAGACUUUCCAGCCAUGUGGCAGAGACAACAACACUCACCAAAUACUCCAUGUGCUUCCUCAGAAUCGCUAGUCUUUUUGUUGGAGGUGACGCCAUGUGAUUAGUCCUCAGAGAGAGCAUUGUGAGUCACUUCCAAACUGUAGUACUGACAAGCCCAUGGGAAGUUCUUCAGUAAGUUUUUCGGUCUCUCUUUCCUCUGCCAUCACAACUAAGGAACCUCACAUGAAACCUCUUGGGCCCCUGAGUCAUUGUAUGGAAGACAAUUACCUUGUAGAAUCACAGUGGAUUUUGUGCAAAAGAGAAAUAAAUAAAGCAUUGUUUUGUUAAGCCACUGAGACUUUGCACUUACUAAUACAGCAUAACUUAGACUUCCCUGACAAACAUACCCCAUUAGCAUAUAGGAUCUAUGAGACCAGAAUUUUUUUCUGGUUUGUUCUCUGAUAUAUUUUGAGCACCUGGCUCAGUGCCUGGCACAUAAUAAUCCCUCAGUAGGUUUGUUGAAUACAUGAAUAGACUCCUGGACACAGGCCAGCAUCCCUGAACCAGUCUAGUUUCUAGCAUCCUCUGGUGUGUAGCAAAUUCCCAGGACCUGUGCUUGAAAGCUCCUUAUGAGUAGGGAAUAAGUCUCAGUCACCUUGUAUUGGCCCCAGUUUCAUAGGGCCUUGUACAUUGCUACUAUUCAGUCACUACAGACUGACUGACUCAUAGAAGUAACUGAAUGCUAGCUCAACUCUCUCCUGCAGUCCCCAGGUUGAAAGCUCUCAGCAGAAGGAAGACGCCCGUUCUCCACGUACUCCUGCAGUGUCAGCACAGAAUUUUGCUUUCACCAAGAAAACUAAGGUGUUCUGCCCUUAAGUUCUCACCUUAAAACUAAGGUGAUCCCCUUCAGUGACUCAUUCUCUGACCUCACAUCUGGCCUCUCUCUGUACCUGUGCUCACGCCUUCACUGCCCUCAUCCUGUUAAAGGACAGUCCUUGUGACUAAGCAGGGUGCACUAUUCUUUCCAGAUUUCUACCUCCCAUUCAUACCUCAGGCCUGUAUUUUCUGGCCUCUGACAUCACAGCUGAACUGCACUUCCUCUUGGUGAUGACAACUAGGACCUCCUGAUUGCCAAAUGCAGUGAGACUUUUUCACGGUGUGAUGCACUGGAGACCUUCAGCUAUUCUUGUCACCUGCUACUACUUUGGCUCCCACGGCACCAUCCUUUCCAGGUUCUGCUUACAU
ensembl:lncRNA